GGCAAAUGCAAGAAGUCUUCAGUCAAG
rnacentral:piRNA from 1 species